GACAUAGGUUGCGAACGUUAUCCGGAAUUAUUGGGCGUAAAGGAUGCGUAGAUGGUGUGAUAAGUUAUCAGUGGCAAAUCGAGGCUCAACCUCGUGGAAGCUGGUAAUACUGUCAUGCUUGAGUACAGGAGAGGUUAACGGAACUCCAUGUGGAGCGGUAAAAUGUGACGAUAUAUGGAAGAACACCGAUAAGGCGAAGGCAGUUAACUAUUCUGUUACUGACAUUGAGGCAUGAAAGCGUGGGGAGCAAAACGG
rnacentral:rRNA from 1 species